rnacentral:rRNA from 1 species
AACGAACGCUGGCGGCAGGCCUAACACAUGCAAGUCGAGCGCGCCCUUCGGGGUGAGCGGCGGACGGGGGAGUAACGCGUGGGAACGUGCCCUUCUCUGCGGAAUAGCCUCGGGAAACUGAGAGUAAUACCGCAUACGCCCUUUGGGGGAAAGAUUUAUCGGAGCAGGAUCGGCCCGCGUUGGAUUAGGUAGUUGGUGGGGUAAUGGCCCACUAAGCCGACGAUCCAUAGCUGGUUUGAGAGGCUGAUCAGCCACACUGGGACUGAGACACGGCCCAGAAUCCUACGGAAGGCAGCAGUGGGGGAUCGUAGACAAGGGGGGCAACCCUGAUCUAGCCAUGCCGCGUGAGUGAUGAAGGCCGUGGGGUAGUAAAGCUCUUUCAGCUGGGAAGAUAAUGACGGUACCAGCAGAAGAAGCCCCGGCUAACUCCGUG